ACCCAAAGUCAUUCCCUCUCCAAGGGGCCACUUCUCAGGAACCAGCAACUUGGAAGUAAACCUGGCACGCCUAAGGUCUUUGGAGACCAUGGGAUACAUAUUUCCUUUGACUGACUAUAUAA
rnacentral:snoRNA from 1 species